UGUGACCAUUAAGAGGUGGGGUUUAGGGGGAUUCCAUCAAGCAUUGAGUGAGUGCCUAUUAUGAUACUGUGCUCAUGUGUCAUUAAUGACCUGCAAGACACUGAUUGCUGGCUCCAUUUUACAGAUGACGAAACUGAGCCUCAGGGGAGGUUCCAGGCUGCGUGCUUCUUGCUCGGAUGCUCUUUAGUCCUCUCAAUGACAGUGCUGAUGGGAUUGGAUGGAAAAUCAUGUACGCAGGUACCACCUGGGACCAUCCGGAGCCUGAGAAACUCUUGGGACACUAUGAGAAUCCAUUGUCACAUUUUGAUAUUGAUUCUGAGAAAAAUAAUCUUGGAGAAAGGUCCAGUUAUAAGUAGAAGAUGUUAUUCCAUCAAUAUCUAGAACAGCAAGAACCUGGAUCCUCCUUGAUGGGCCAUUUAUAGGGGAGUGGCAGAGCAAGUCAUGGUGUAUUAAUGCAAUCAUCUUCAGUGUCCACGGCGGCAGAGAUCUAACACAUGUAGAAUGCCUGGAAAGCAGAGUCUAAGCUGGACUUUACACUAUGAAUGCAGUCGUGUUAAAUCUGUGCAAUGACAAAUGUGGGCAAUGGAGGAAGGUCAAAGGCAAAAUUGAAGGGUUACAGCUGGGGCGGGGGCUGUGAUUUGCAUCGAAUGUUAUUUGGACUGAGUCACUAGGAAAUCCUAUAAGUGACCUGGAGAGGCCCAGACUUUGGGAUUCCAAACCAAGAAUCUGGCCCACCAGGCUGACCAGCCUCUGUGUGCAUGGCUUACAGUAGGGCUUCAUCAGAAAUUUCCCGAAUACAGCCUCCAUGCUGGCCCCAAGCUAGACAUACAUGCAAAUGCCCCUUGUCUGGCUUCAGGAAGCCAAAUGAUCUUCACCAGGGAUUUUCAGGAGGUCAAAGCACUCUGAUCUGGACUGGAAGGUUCUCCAUGAGUGUUCUGCAAAGCUGGUCAGCUGGGGCUGGUCUUGCUUGAUGGCACUGGAGAGCACUUUCUAUGGAAGCAAAGAGUCCUGCAAGAGGGGGGCUGCCUGAGGCCUAAUGGAGCUGAUUGGAGCCCUGUGCAGUUAGUAAGUUAGACUGCAUGUGACAAUCAUGCCUUUGGGCCCACAGGGCCAUUUCCAACUUUAGACAAAGCAAAGGCAAGAAUGGAACCAUUUCCGUUUGAAAAGUACUCCAUAGGGGCCUUUAAAGCAGGGCAGAAGAUGUCCAGUUCCCAAGCCACCAUCUCCCCAGAGUCCUCUGGCUGGACCCCUUCCUUAGACGUAGGCUCCUGCACCCCGCUCCCACUCUGGUCUCCAUCCCAGGCAGCCUGGCCUCUGCCCAGCUGCUGAGAACAGCUUUGCCAGUUAACACCCAACCCUGCCUCAAAAAUCACACCCCGACAACUUGGAUAGCUUGAGUUGCCAAAGAUUGGGCUCGGUCAAGACUCUGGCUUUGCUGCCGUUCAUUCAUUCGUUCAUUUUUUUUUUUUUUUAAAUCUGUUCCUCCAUUCCUAAGCACCACUCAUUCUAUGCCAGACAUUGUUCUAGGCCCUGGGGAUAUGGCAGGACCAUGGUGGGUCCAAGUGAAUAAUAAAAA